rnacentral:rRNA from 1 species
GCCCGCACAAUCGCUCGAGCAUGUGGUUAAAAUCGAAGCAACGCGAAGAACCUUACCAGGUCUUGACAUCCUCUGACACUCCUAGAGAUAGUACGUUCCCCUUCGGGGGACAGAGUGACAGCUGGUGCAUGGUUUGUCGUCAGCUCGUGUCGUGAGAUGUUGGGUUAAGUCCCGCAACGAGCGCAACCCUUGAUGUUAGUUGCCAGCAGUUAGUUGGGCACUCUAAGGUGACUGCCGGUGACAAACCGGAGGAAGGUGGGGAUGACGUCAAAUCAUCAUGCCCCUUAUGACCUGGGCUACACACGUGCUACAAUGGAUGGUACAAAGGGCAGCAAAUCCGCGAGGCCUAGCCAAUCCCAUAAAACCAUUCUCAGUUCGGAUUGUAGGCUGCAACUCGCCUACAUGAAGCCGGAAUCGCUAGUAAUCGCGGAUCAGCAUGCCGCGGUGAUACGUUCCCGGG